CCUUGUAGGAAUUUCAAGGUAUAAUAUCAACUAGCUACAUUAGGAUCAACAUUGGUAUCAACUUGAGCACAUUCUGAUUCAAUCCAAUUUAGAUUAGUUUCUGUUUUUCUUCAUCCAUAAAGGAAUAAUAGUACAAGCCAACAAUGGAGAAUGUUGUACUACCUAUUUCUUCUUCGUAUCUCAAUUAGAAAAGGUUGUAGUAUAUGCAUAUGUAUUAAAUUUUUAAUACUAUUAAUUACUAUUUGAGAAAUCAAUGAUAACAUUUCAUUCAAAAAUAAAUAAACUUUUAUAUAAAUUGAAUAUUCAUCAAUUAAAAGUAGAUGGUACUUGAUGUAUUAAAUUAUCAUAGACUCCCUAGCAAAGCAGAGGCCUCAUCUUGCAAAACCUUCCAUGCUGCAGUUACAUGUCUCUCUUCAGUCAAUGGUGCUCCUACUGCAAAUCGCAAUAUAUACUUGCCAGAUAGAACCGUAUGAGAUAUAAAAAUUUUCCCAGUGGAGUUUGCUGCAUCUAAUAGGUCAUGGUUCAAUUUGUUGCCAUGAUCUUCAUUGUUGUCUGGAGGUAAAAGGCGAAAACAAACCAAUGAAAAUAUCCGAGAGGCAACAACCUGAACACAUUAAUUAUGAUAAUGAUUGAAGCUGUUUGUUAGACAAAACCAUUUAAGGCAAACCACAACGAUGCAGAACUCUCAAAAAUAUCACACGUAUGCAUAAAUAUGACAUAUAGAGCAUUGGAAUUACAUCUAUAACUUAAAGAACCUUGUCUCUGUAACAUCAUUUUUCAAUCUUUAAGGCCACUGUUAUGUAUCAAGUCAUUUGCAUCACAAGCACUGCCAUGGAAGAAAAUUCCUGCUCUACGAUGAAUACCAGUUUGGCUUUAUGCCAGAAAGAGAUUGAAAGUGGAAGCUACUGUCCCGUUCUGGCAACUGAAGGCAGGCUGCUAAACCUAUACAUAAUUCAUAUUUAACCACUUUUUGAGGCAAUUUGUUAGUCUAGCCAGUUAAGUUAGUAUGUUAGACAAACAUACUUUUACUGUAUUAACACAAUAACAGCUAAUUUUACAACAGAAGCAUUGGCUGAAGGGGUAUUAUUCAUCCAAUUCCAACAAAUAUGAAGACAAUCAAUUGAAAAUCAAUUCAUCCAUCUUUUCAGCAAUCCCAAUUCUAGUGUUGACCUGGGUCAACUUGGAUCAAGUGUUAACAAGAUUUAGGACCAAUGAAGGCUAGUUGAACUACAAGUUGCUUACUCAAAUUCACCAAAAAAUGAACUCAUCACAUCAAGUAUAAAGCCAAAAUGUUGUCUCUUAAACUAAUAAGAUGAUGCCUAGAUAUAUGGAUCAGGGGUUUGUCAUAUGUAUUGGCCAUGCCAUUUUGGAAUUUGAAAGGCAAUAAUAGCAUAGGAAGGUUCCAAAAACAUUAAAUAUCUUUAAAGAGCACCCUAAGCUCCCCCAAUUGCCUGGCUGUCGUAUUUUCCAUUCCCAUUGCCUAUUCUGUCAUCCUCUCAUGGUCUCACCUCAAUAUUAAGCUGUGCAAGCCUCUUGUAUAUUUUUCAAACUCCACAAUAUCUUCUAGCAGAUGGAACUGCUCCUGAUCGUUUUUUUGAGCACCAGAUGAAGUUAAUUGUUUAGAGAUGUAAAAUGAGAGACUGCUAAUUCAGUCCUAUGCCACACAAACUAUUCAUGAAACAAGAUGCGUUAAUGAUACUACAGCCCUCCACAAUGGUUCUCAUGAGCGAGUACUGACUAACAGGUAGGCAAAGCCUGAGCUACUACGCGUAGCUUGGAUGCUCGCCCUAAUUGACUGAGUAAUGAUGUUCGCCAUUGUAUCCCAGUUACUCAGAAUGUACGCUAAAAGAAAAGGAUGCCAUGAUCCUCGCCGUGUUUAUAGUUUUAACACACAUAGGACUCCCAAAUGAAGAGGACUCCAAGUCCCAUCCUAGUACUAACUCCUAAUCCUAGUAGGAAUCGAUAGAAGCGCCCAUAUAAAGGCCACCAAGUACGCAUAUUAAUCUCUUAAUCACAUUCUCAUUCUUUAACAAUUUAGUUCUUAUUAUUAACUUAGGUAUUAGAAUGCUGGUCAACUAACCCACUCAGUUUUCUUUGUUGUUACCUUACAAAUCCAAGCUCCAAGGUCCAUCCAGUAUACUCGAGAAGGAGGUAAGCAACAUCAAUUAAUAUACAAGAAACAGUAAAAUAAGAAAGAUGAACUAUAAAAAACAAUAAAGAUAGAAGCUUCUACAACCUAGUUGCAAAAUAAUUGUGAAGAGUUAUUACCUCAAACCUAGUGUCUCCAGCAACAAGGCCUUCAAAAUAUUUAGCCAAGUUAAUAUGAUUUCUGAUGUAGCAUUGUAGAUUUUCCACACCAUAUAAUCGCAAUACCAUCCACAGUUUCAAUGACCUAAAUCGACGUCCAAGAGGAAUUUGCCAAUCUUUGUAAUCCACAACCAUGUUUGCUUGGGAGGCUUUGUUUUUCAGAAACUCUGGAUUUGUAGAAAGUGACUGAAUUAGAGCAUUUCUAUCCUUCACCCAAAGGGCUGAACAAUCAAAGUUUGUUAGGAACCAUUUAUGCGCAUUCAUGUUAAAAGAGUCAGCUUCCUCAACACCAUCAAUGUAACAGCGGUACUCUGGACAUAUACAAGCACUUCCAGCAUAGGCAGCAUCCACAUGAAACCAAAUUCCAUUACUCUUAGCAAUCUUUCCCAGUGCAAGCAAUGGAUCGACAGCUGUUGAUGAAGUAGUGCCAACUGUGGCGCACAAAAAGAAGGGUAUCAAUCCAACAGAAAUGUCAUGCGAAAUUGCUUCACAAAGUAAAUCUGGGGAAAUGGCAUAACUUCUGGACGAGUCUGUUUUUAGCAGCCUGCAAUUUUCCGGAUGAACCCCUGCUAUCUGGCAGGCCUUUUGCAAAGCUGAAUGUGUUUGAUCAGAUCCAUAAGCCACAAGCUUUUUAAGGGAAUCUUUUCCAACCCUCCUCAAGACCUUGUCUCGAGCAGCUAGUAGUACAACUAGAACAGCUUCACUAGCGGUACCCUGUAUUACUCCACCUCCUUGUCCUGACGAGAGAAAUUCUUCAGGGAGCUUGAGCAUUUUUCCAAGCCAGUCUAGAACGAUAAUUUCAAGCUCUGUUGCAGCAGGAGAAGUUAUCCAGCUGAAACCAACCAUAUUGAUACCAGCGCUAAGCAUUUCUCCCAAAAAUCCAGCGAUACUACUGUUAGAAGGAUAAUAUGCAAAAUAAUUUGGGCUUUGCCAAUGGGUCACUCCUGGUAAAAUCUUUGAUUUAACAUCAUCAAGAACAUUCUGCAAUCCCUCAGGUUGAUUUGGCGCAGAAUCUGGCAGAAGUUUCUGAAGAUACCCAGGCUCAACUUGGCUUAGAACUGGAAAAUUCUCAAUAGUUUUGUAGUAAUCAGCAAUAAAAUCAACCAUCUUAUGUGCAUGCUCUCUCAGUUGCUCUGCGUCCAUUGGUCUCAACUCCCUUUCCAUAUUUUGCACAUAAAUGGGAGCAAAGGACUGAUUGUUUUAGCGAAGAGAAGUGGGUAUUGCGUUGCUUAAAAGGGUUUUAACAGAGAAAACAAAGUCUUUGGUAUAUAUGAGAAUGAAGGAGAAAGAUUCCAUUUUGUAUCAUAUAUGGCGAGAAGGUAAAGACAGAGAGAGACAUGAAUAGAGUGCUUUAAUUUCAAUAUCCUCCACUGGUUUCAAGCUUUGUCGACAAUCUUUUAAUCG
rnacentral:misc_RNA from 1 species